rnacentral:rRNA from 1 species
AAGAUGUAACGGGGCUAAACCAUGCACCGAAGCUGCGGCAGCGACACUAUGUGUUGUUGGGUAGGGGAGCGUUCUGUAAGCCUGCGAAGGUGUGCUGUGAGGCAUGCUGGAGGUAUCAGAAGUGCGAAUGCUGACAUAAGUAACGAUAAAGCGGGUGAAAAGCCCGCUCGCCGGAAGACCAAGGGUUCCUGUCCAACGUUAAUCGGGGCAGGGUGAGUCGACCCCUAAGGCGAGGCCGAAAGGCGUAGUCGAUGGGAAACAGGUUAAUAUUCCUGUACUUGGUGUUACUGCGAAGGGGGGACGGAGAAGGCUAUGUUAGCCGGGCGACGGUUGUCCCGGUUUAAGCAUGUAGGCUGAUUGUCCAGGCAAAUCCGGAUAAUCAAGGCUGAGGUGUGAUGACGAGGCACUACGGUGCUGAAGUAACAAAUGCCCUGCUUCCAGGAAAAGCCUCUAAGCAUCAGGUAACAUUAAAUCGUACCCCAAACCGACACAGGUGGUCAGGUAGAGAAUACCAAGGCGCUUGAGAGAACUCGGGUGAAGGAACUAGGCAAAAUGGUGCCGUAACUUCGGGAGAAGGCACGCUGGUGUGUAGGUGAAGUCCCUGCGGAUGGAGCUGAGACCAGUCGAAGAUACCAGCUGGCUGCAACUGUUUAUUAAAAACACAGCACUGUGCAAACACGAAAGUGGACGUAUACGGUGUGACGCCUGCCCGGUGCCGGAAGGUUAAUUGAUGGGGUUAUCCGUAAGGAGAAGCUCUUGAUCGAAGCCCCGGUAAACGGCGGCCGUAACUAUAACGGUCCUAAGGUAGCGAAAUUCCUUGUCGGGUAAGUUCCGACCUGCACGAAUGGCGUAAUGAUGGCCAGGCUGUCUCCACCCGAGACUCAGUGAAAUUGAACUCGCUGUGAAGAUGCAGUGUACCCGCGGCAAGACGGAAAGACCCCGUGAACCUUUACUAUAGCUUGACACUGAACAUUGAGCCUUGAUGUGUAGGAUAGGUGGGAGGCUUUGAAGCGUGGACGCCAGUCUGCGUGGAGCCAACCUUGAAAUACCACCCUUUAAUGUUUGAUGUUCUAACGUUGGCCCCUGACCGGGGUUGCGGACAGUGUCUGGUGGGUAGUUUGACUGGGGCGGUCUCCUCCCAAAGCGUAACGGAGGAGCACGAAGGUUAGCUAAUCCUGGUCGGACAUCAGGAGGUUAGUGCAAUGGCAUAAGCUAGCUUGACUGCGAGCGUGACGGCGCGAGCAGGUGCGAAAGCAGGUCAUAGUGAUCCGGUGGUUCUGAAUGGAAGGGCCAUCGCUCAACGGAUAAAAGGUACUCCGGGGAUAACAGGCUGAUACCGCCCAAGAGUUCAUAUCGACGGCGGUGUUUGGCACCUCGAUGUCGGCUCAUCACAUCCUGGGGCUGAAGUAGGUCCCAAGGGUAUGGCUGUUCGCCAUUUAAAGUGGUACGCGAGCUGGGUUUAGAACGUCGUGAGACAGUUCGGUCCCUAUCUGCCGUGGGCGCUGGAGAAUUGAGGGGGGCUGCUCCUAGUACGAGAGGACCGGAGUGGACGCAUCACUGGUGUUCGGGUUGUCAUGCCAAUGGCACUGCCCGGUAGCUAAAUGCGGAAGAGAUAAGUGCUGAAAGCAUCUAAGCACGAAACUUGCCCCGAGAUGAGUUCUCCCUGAGACUUUAAGUCUCCUGAAGGAACGUUAAAGACGAUGACGUUGAUAGGCCGGGUGUGUAAGCGCAGCGAUGCGUUGAGCUAACCGGUACUAAUGAACCGUGAGGCUUAACCUU